rnacentral:rRNA from 1 species
UACGGAGGAUGCAAGCGUUAUCCGGAAUGAUUGGGCGUAAAGCGUCCGCAGGUGGCUAUGUAAGUCUGCUGUUAAAGAGUGAGGCUCAACCUCAUAAGAGCAGUGGAAACUACAUGGCUAGAGUGCGUUCGGGGCAGAGGGAAUUCCUGGUGUAGCGGUGAAAUGCGUAGAGAUCAGGAAGAACACCGGUGGCGAAAGCGCUCUGCUGGACCUUAACUGACACUGAGGGACGAAAGCUAGGGGAGCGAGUGGG